rnacentral:lncRNA from 1 species
AGGUUCUCCAGGAAUACCGAAAGGCUGCCUCAUAGUACCACGGACAAGCCGUUGCGGCUUACCUACACCACGUUGGUACUACAAUGCCACCAGCGGGACUUGCCGACCCGUUAUGUGGGGAGGAUGUGGAUACAAAGUAAACAUAUUUAAAUCAUCCAGGGAAUGCGAGGGAAGAUGUGGUCGUGCUUAUCGACCGCACGCUGACCGUUGCCUUGAGGUUCCACAAAAACAAAACUGCAGCAACAGCAAGGCUUCAGUCUUGAUGUGGAGCUUUCAGAUGAAUACAAUGACCUGCACUGCUACGUAUUAUAACGGCUGCGAUGGAAACAAGAAUCUCUACAGGACCUGUAAGGUGUGCUAUACGGAAUGCUUGCUUCACACGCUGAAAUUACCAUACUGCCCCGAUAAUCCACCAAGAAGGCAACCCAGCCCACAACGACCGGCAGAAGUUAUACAGAAAAGACCAAAGCUUUAAAAGCCAAUAAAUUCUUUCGCACUGUUA